rnacentral:tRNA from 1 species
CAUCAGAUAGGCGGGCGCGUCGCCGCGCUGGCGGCGCGGCAGCCGUUGGGCCGGUUCGGCGGGCGCCUCCGAUGGCC